rnacentral:lncRNA from 1 species
AGGAAAAGCUGCCAUCCCAUGUCCUCUGCUACAGGAUUUUCUGUCGAGUGAAAGAUCCUGGAUACAUCCCAAGUCAUGGGGGAAGGCUUUCAUCAAGCCCAGGUCUUUCUGGAUUGAGCAAUUGGACAAAUGGGUGGGGUCUUGAUUGUGACACUGGAGCUGGAAUGAGGAAAACAUCAGGCAAAGCCUUGUGUCUCAGGGAAGCCACAUUCUAGAAAGCAUCUCUAGGUACGGAUAAACAAACAUGCAGUAGGCGAGAUGCUGAUUAGUAUCUGCUGAAACUUAGAUACCCUGCGGGACCGCAUCGAACUUGUGCUUUUGAAAAGCCAAACUCCUCCCUUUCCUUUGCCUGGUGCCAUGCUGUGAGUAGUGUGUUGAUGGAGUUCACUGAGAGUGUAUCUGGGACAUCACUUCUAAAGAAGACCUCAGAAUGUUGGCCUCUGUACUUACAAACACUGUGAUGACAUCUCCAGAUGACGCCUUCACUGGAAUGCAUUUUCUUCCCUCCAGCACAUACCCUUGCAUCUGGCGACUAACCGUAAGUAUAAGAACCUUUCUCCUUAUAUGUAGUUGUGACUCCAGCCACACUGGAGAGGGGCAAGGCCAUGAACGGACUGAUGGGCUGAGAGAAGGGAACACAAGCAAAUAGCACAGGAUGCCAUCUGUCUGGGGGCGUGGAUCAGUGCGUAGAAUUCAUGCUGAGGUAUGCAUACUACAGGUGACAGGUAAGGACUUCCCAAGGUGUGGAUAGAUGGACAAUUUUGGUGAAUGAAGUCUCUAAAUACGCAAUUUCCAUGCGGCUCUUACUUGGAUAAUGAGCCACAGUGGGGUUCAAUCACUUUCUUUCCCAUGACUUUUUUCAAAGUCCUGUUUGUAUAGCUUUAUAUGCAAUGGCAUGCCUCCCCCCAUAUGUCAAUUCUCAUGAUAUGUCCUUAUUUUGACAAAUAAACCUCAAGAAGACUAAAACCUGAACAGCUCAAAGCGCUAGAAACUGUCUCAAGAGAACAUGGAGGUGUGUAUCGGAAGUCCAGCAAUUUCUCAUGAAGUUUGACGCGCUGUCUCUGCCUAGUGCGGAUGGGAGCAGUGACUGUGUGUCCCCCGCUGUCCUUCUCAUCACAUCACGACACCUGCUGAGGAUGCUUCAGUUUGACUCCUUGCGGGUCAUCGGUUUCUUCAGACUGAGUUUCUUCUGGGUCUGCUGGCUGUCCAUCCACAUCACCUACAAGCACGGUCUGCAGAGACACAGCCUGUGCCUCCAGCAGGCAUCCAAGGCCCCGCUGCUGACCAUACUACCCUUCUGCUUCUCCCUCACGCCUAAGGCUCCUGUGAAUCCAGUGUGGAUAACUGUACACUCUGAGACUUUGGGGGGAACUCAAGAGGAGCAUCGAUGCGCUCUGGGUUCUCUUUGGGUAGAUAGGCUGUCAGGAAUUUCUUGAGCACACACCAUCUUCAGGUCCAUCUGCCUCAUCCAAAUCUUUCUCCCUACCUUGCCUUUGUGGCUCUCAAGCUGAAGAAGGCUAUUUGAGCCUAGGAUCCCCCUUUCCCCUCUCUUCUGAUUUGGUUUCCAGAGCCUUUUUACUGUGCUUGAACAUUCGCAUUCUUUACUUACGCGUUGAUUUCUCUGCCUUCAUGGAAUCUCGGUGAAGAUGAAGACACCGUCUGCUUUGAUCAUUGCUUUAUGUCUGACACGUAGAACAGCAUCUCGCACAGGGAGGAGGCUCAGAAAACAUUUGUCAGAAGAAGAAUGAAUAAAUAAAUGAGUAAACUUAUGUGGGGUACUUCGACUUACUGUAUCUAGUAAGCAGAAAUACCUUAAGUACAGGGAAGGAUUGUGGUGCCACAGAUUUCCCCCCACCCCCCACCUGUGGACAAUUUCUUACAGUUUCAUUAUCAAUAGACAUAUAGUAGAUUUAUGUGUUUGCUAUGAGAGUGGAACUGGAAUGGACAUAAAGGCAGAACUGCCUCUGCUUCCUCUCUUCUUGGCUGAUCAGUUCCAUUUCCUGACACACGUGUUUGAAGGAACCUGGUGGGCCUCGGAUUGUGUACAAUUGUGUAUCUUUGGAAAAGUCAGAGCUCUCUUGCUCUUGGCCAUGCUCAUGAUUUCUAGCUGGAAUCAAGGAAAAGUCAUUGCUUACAUUCUUCUCGGAAACCCUUGGUACAGUUGCUUGAAAAAGCCUGGAGGAAUGCAAUAAAAUAUAAAGAUGGAGACGCUGGUGGGAAAUGGACCUGAAGUUUCCUGGGUGUUUGUUUCCAUUCACGAGUAUAAGCAGAGAGAUUUAUAAUUCCAGAAAUCACAUUUUCCCCCUAAGCUGCUUUUUAUCUUCUUCUUCUAAAUGUUACUGCAGCUCACGUGCUUCUUCAAAAUCAGAAGUGAGGAUUAAAGAAGAUCAUGAACCAGCUUCUGACUUGAACAUUUUGAGAGGGCAGCUGCUAUGAUGAAGAGGCCAGGGUGGCAAGGAACUGAAAGUGACUUCUAACCAAGGAAAUCAUUUGGCAAGGAUCAGAGCUCUUAAGUUCAACUCCUGUGAAGAAGUGGAUUCUGUGUUGAUAGAAGAGCUUAGAAUAAGGGUCUUCCUCAGUUUAGUGGU